rnacentral:rRNA from 1 species
UACGUAGGGGGCAAGCGUUGUCCGGAAUCAUUGGGCGUAAAGCGCGUGUAGGCGGUUCGGUAAGUCCGCUGUGAAAGUCGGGGGCUCAACCCUCGGAUGCCGGUGGAUACUGUCGGGCUUGAGUGCGGAAGAGGCGAGUGGAAUUCCUGGUGUAGCGGUGAAAUGCGCAGAUAUCAGGAGGAACACCAAUUGCGAAGGCAGCUCGCUGGGACGUUACUGACGCUGAGACGCGAAAGCGUGGGGAGCAAACAGG